CCCAUAUACCGAUCAACCCCCACCUCCAUACCCCAACCGACCCCCACCGCCAUAUCAACCUUAAGGCACAGCCUAUUCAUCGCUGGGGGGAAAGUGGUUCACCAAUUUAUAAUACAUGCCACAAUCACAUCUCACGUCGCUUUAGUGUGGUUUUGGUCAGUACAUUUUCCAAAAUGUGUUGUUAUCUAACCAAAAUUUAACUAAUUUCUAUACAGGGUGUACCAAAAUAAACGCAAUUCAUCUUUUGUGCUUAAUAACUUUCGAAAUACUAUUUCUAGUUUAACGCUUUUAGGCUUACUUCAAAGCCUGUUCUUUUCUCUUUCAAACAAACUAUUAUCCUUGUCUCCAAUACUAGUAAUAAUUGCACAGG